rnacentral:lncRNA from 1 species
GAUAAUCAUGUCAUAUAACACCUGAGACUGUGGUCGAAGAAAUUGGAAACUUUUUAAUAGAAGGAUCAGACACAAAAAGGGACGUCUCAAACUCAGCUAACUGGUUUAUUUCUCGACCAUCCUACAUCAUGACUGACUUGCCCACUGGCGCCACCCUGGCCUUGCUGUUUUCAACGGUUCUCAGGUUGCCGGAGCGGCGUGUUUGAACUGUUUGAACCACAGGUUAAACCACAGGCACCACAGGUUUGAACUGUUUCAACGGGAGUCAUGGCAAAACGAACGGAGUAGCACUGCGUGGCCUCGCAAUCCCAGCGACCCGACGAGCUCGCAAAGCGUGCUCGGAAGACGACCCUCCCAAAGCCGACGACGCGCACUCACCUCUGUGGACAGCGAAGAAACAUCGUCGCACUGUGACAACGGCGACUAGUGCACGGCAUUUAUUUUUUGUUGGCGUUCGUUUCAUAAAACCCGUCUAUAAGGAGCUUGUGACCACCCUGAAAGGCUUGACGAGCUACGUGCUCGUAUUCAUGUUGGUGCCACGAGGUGGGCCUUUCGGGCAUGCCAGGGAGGAUGAGAGGCUGUCCCUGAACCGCCUACUAGUACAAAAAGGUGUUGCCCUCGGCGUUACCAUCGUGAAUGUCGACUGACGCGAGUUCCUCUUCCACUGCUCUCACAAGUGGAGAAUGAAUUGGAAAGGAUGAAAGAAAUGGGAGUCAUCAAGAAGGUGGAAAAAGCAACGGAGUGGUCCGGCAUCCUGCGGUACAGUGACACGGCCAGCAGCCCAACCAAGGUCCUACAUUGUAAGCACAUCGACAGGACUAACACGACGCACCGGGAGUCACAUGCAGCCAACGGCGGUCACUAGGAGCGGACGACCAAGCAGACCACCGUACAGGUUGGACUUGUAGCGCGGCUCCCUACUCCUAAGAAAGGGGGGUGUCGUGAGUGGCAUUGCGAGCGACCGCCGACUGCUGUGCCGUGACGCGCCUACGCGCGGAGUACUCUCGCUCCGGGAGGCCAGUGGACGGGGGAGAACGGCACAACCAUGCGAGGACAUGGCUGUGUGUCGCUGACUACACGUAUUGCCUUUAACCCGCAAUAAACUGUUCUUGUUAUACCUGAACAACUGCUACGACAGGCCUGGUGUGUUAAUAUUUCUGUAGUGAGCCGCCACAGACGGUUGCUGCAAAUGACGUAGACGGGCGGGCCAGGUAAGUUAAUGCGUGCCCCAGUGACACACACAACGAAACAUCACAACAUCGUACAGUUAGCGUAACGAUUGUCGAUGGCAUGUCAGUGUCGACCAGGGGCGGAUUUAGAGGGGGGUCCGGAUGUCCUGACCCCCCUCUUGAUUUCUGCUUGUGUAAAUUU